GACGAACGCUGGCGGCGUGCUUAACACAUGCAAGUCGAACGAUGAAGCCGGAGCUUGCUCUGGUGAAUUAGUGGCGAACGGGUGAGUAACACGUGAGUAACCUGCCCUUGACUCUGGGAUAACUGCGGGAAACUGUAGCUAAUACCGGAUACGACCCUCGGAGGCAUCUCCUGGGGGUGGAAAGAAUUUCGGUCAAGGAUGGACUCGCGGACUAUCAGCUAGUUGGUGAGGUAAAGGCUCACCAAGGCGACGACGGGUAGCCGGCCUGAGAGGGUGACCGCCCACACGGGGACUGAGACACGGCCCAGACUCCUACGGGAGGCAGCAGUGGGGAAUAUUGCACAAUGGGCGCAAGCCUGAUGCAGCAACGCCGCGUGAGGGAUGACGGCCUUCGGGUUGUAAACCUCUUUUAGCAGGGAAGAAGCGAAAGUGACGGUACCUGCAGAAAAAGCACCGGCUAACUACGUGCCAGCCGCCGCGGUAA
rnacentral:rRNA from 1 species